UACAGAGGGGGCAAGCGUUAUUCGGAAUUACUGGGCGUAAAGGGCGCGUAGGCGGUUCGUUAAGUCCUGUGUGAAAUCCCCCGGCUCAACUGGGGAACUGCACAGGAAACUAGCGGGCUUGAGUUCGGGAGAGGGAAGCGGAAUUCCGGGUGUAGCGGUGAAAUGCGUAGAUAUCCGGAGGAACACCGGUGGCGAAGGUGGCUUCCUGGACCGACACUGACGCUGAGGCGCGAAAGCUAGGGGAGCAAACGGG
rnacentral:rRNA from 1 species